GAUGAACGCUGGCGGCGUGCCUAAUACAUGCAAGUCGAGCGAACAGGCGAGGAGCUUGCUCCUCUGACGUUAGCGGCGGACGGGUGAGUAACACGUGGAUAACCUACCUAUAAGACUGGGAUAACUUCGGGAAACCGGAGCUAAUACCGGAUAAUAUAUUGAACCGCAUGGUUCAAUAGUGAAAGACGGUUUUGCUGUCACUUACAGAUGGAUCCGCGCCGCAUUAGCUAGAUGGUAAGGUAACGGCUUACCAAGGCGACGAUGCGUAGCCGACCUGAGAGGGUGAUCGGCCACACUGGAACUGAGACACGGUCCAGACUCCUACGGGAGGCAGCAGUAGGGAAUCUUCCGCAAUGGGCGAAAGCCUGACGGAGCAACGCCGCGUUAGUGAUGAAGGUCUUCGGAUCGUAAAACUCUGUUAUUAGGGAAGAACAAAUGUGUAAGUAACUAUGCACGUCUUGACGGUACCUAAUCAGAAAGCCACGGCUAACUACGUG
rnacentral:rRNA from 1 species